rfam:Candidatus Amesbacteria bacterium RIFCSPLOWO2_01_FTLL_48_25 rifcsplowo2_01_scaffold_398, whole genome shotgun sequence.
GGGGCGGUAGCUCAAUGGUAGAGUAGCAGCCUUUUAAGCUGUUUGUUCUGGGUUCGAGUCCCAGCCGCCUCA